AUGGCAUCAGAAAUCUUGUAAGUGCCUUGCCACAGACAAUCAAGAGACUGGUUCUUGUGUCAUCUAUUGGUGUUACAAAAUACAAUGAGAUACCAUGGAGCAUCAUGAAUCUGUUUGGUGUGCUCAAGUACAAGAAGAUGGGAGAAGACUUUGUUCGCAAUUCAGGAAUACCAUUCACGAUUAUCAUGUAUUCAGGCCUGGAAGAUUAACAGAUGGACCCUACACUUCAUAUGAUCUUAAUACACUUCUUAAAGCUACAACUGGGGAGCGACGAGCAGUAGUCAUAGGCAAAGGCGACAAGCUUGUGGGGGAAGUUAGUAGACUUGUGGUGGCAGAAGCUUGUAUCCAAGCUUUAGACAUUGAAUCUACUGAAGGACAAAUAUAUGAGAUUAAUUCAAUGAAGUUGCAGGCUUGCAGAUACUACCCAGAAUAAAAUGCAGAAAGAUCAUUUUCAAAGAUGCAGAAUGGAGCGCCAAUUGGCCAAUUUGGAAAGGUGAAGCGGUAGAAGAAGAGCUUUUACAAUAAACCCUAAACCCUUACAAUGCUAAUUUUGAUGGAGAUGAAAUGAAUUUGCAUGUCCCUCGGACGGAGGAAACUCGCACUGAAGCGCUUAUGCUCAUUGGGGUUCAGAAUAAUUUAUGUACUCCUAAGAAUGGUGAGAUAUUGGUUGCUUCCACGCAAGACUUCUUGACCUCAUCUUUCCUAUAUAUGUUUUCGAAUUAGAUUGGGAUGGAAAUUCACAUUUGUUUUCAUAUUUUCUGUUAGCAAGCACAACCAUUGUGACAUUAUUUUGCAUGCACUCAGCCUCCCACCAUGGCUAUGAGAAUGAAAUUCAACUUUUGGGUAUACCAAAAUGUUAUAGAAUCAAUAUAAUUAGAUAUGUCAAGAUGACAACACAUAUUUCCUUCAACUACUAUGGAUUUUUCAUUAAUAAAAUACAUGCUUGAUGGCUGCUUGUCUAAAAUUUAUUUGUUUAAUAUUCUUUGUUUGUAAGCCCAAGAAUUUGUAAAACUAGGAAAUAAUUCCAAUGAAAGAUCGGUAAAUUUUUUCCUUGCUGCUACAGUUUCCUCUGGAUCCUCUUGAUGCAGGACCGAAUGCAUAUUCUGGUGGCGGUGGCGUCUUUGUUGACGAUGGCAUCAAACAAUCCAGUGAGACCAAACUUGCCCUUGCCGAGCACUAGGGCAAGAACAUGGCCUCAACAGUGAAGAAGCUAGCUCAACAUGCCUGAGCCAGCUGCUCCUAUGUAGUAAAACGUCACAC